GACGAACCGUGCGAACGUUGUUCGGAUUCACUGGGUUUAAAGGGUGCGUAGGUGGGUUGGUAAGUCAGUGGUGAAAUCUCCGAGCUUAACUUGGAAACUGCCAUUGAUACUAUUAAUCUUGAAUAUUGUGGAGGUCAGCGGAAUAUGUCAUGUAGCGGUGAAAUGCUUAGAGAUGACAUAGAACACCAAUUGCGAAGGCAGCUGGCUACACAUAUAUUGACACUGAGGCACGAAAGCGUGGGGAUCAAACAGG
rnacentral:rRNA from 1 species